AUUUCCUUCUCUACGCAGUGGAGAACUUUUAACCACCUGAGAUGACCUUAUCCAGUUACGAGGUGCCCUAGAGAAAAGGGUCUCAGCCAUGAACUCACUAUGAAGGGUCAAGAGAGUUACUUUUCCUCCUUUACGGUUUCUAGUGACCAGGAUGAGACCCACUGGGACGCCCCACUUGCUCGGAAUCCUGCAGACGGCAUUAUGAGGAAACUGGCACAAGGCUGGCAAAGGGUAACAUUUCUUACCAAGGUCAGAUCUCCCGGAUCUGUGGAGCGUGGGUAAGAGAGGAAGGGGAAAUUUGACGUUGUCCUUUCCUUUCCAAAUUCACUUUGGCAGGAAAACACAUUGGCUAUGGAUUCUUUCCCUCCCAGGGAUAGCUGUGAGAUAUAAAUGAUGUUUUACCUGUUUUUUUGUAGGAACUCAGAGGCAUCUGGUGAAAUGCAAACUUCAGAGAAGUCAUGCUUAUCAGGAAAAAAGAAUAAAAAGCAGCAACAGCAGGUAUUUGGAAAGAACUAAAGAUACUCACUUCUAACCAGUAAACAUGUUUUGUGCCACACUGAAAAAUUACAAAGAGGAAGAAUAUACUUCUGGCAAUUGUGAAAGGUAUUUAUAAACAUGCCAAUCUACAGAAUGCUAGGAUAAUAGUCCAUACUGCUUACUUCUUAGUUUUCACUAGGAGUAAAGGAUUCUAAGGGUCAAGAAUUUUAAUAAAUAUAUAUAAUUAAAACUACAUAGAAAUAAUUAAGGUGAGAGGAAACAACUGUACCUGUAAA